CUAAGAUAGUAAGAGCAUACGGUGGAUGCCUUGGCGAUAUCUGCCGAUGAAGGACGCGACAAGCUGCGAAAAGCUGCGGAGAGGUGCAAAUGACCAUUGACCCGCAGAUCUCCGAAUGGAGCAAUCCGGCAGGGUUUAUCCCCUGUCACCCAUAUCUUCGAAUAUGGGAGGGAACCGGGCGAACUGAAACAUCUAAGUAGCCCGAGGAAGAGUAAUCAAACGAGAUACCCCAAGUAGCGGCGAGCGAACGGGGCCUAAGCCCAAACCGGUGAAGGAAACUUUGCCGGGGUUGAGGACUGCCAUACGAACUAGCCCAUUAGCCGAAAUUCCUGGGAAGGAAUGCCGAAGAAUGUGAAAGCCAUGUAAGCGAAAAUGGAAAAGGGACAGGCAGCACCAGAGUACCGCGGGACACGAGAAACCCCGUGGGAAGCCGGGGGGACCACCCUCCAAGGCAAAACACAGAUAUCGACCGAUAGCGCAUAGUACCAUGAGGGAAAGGUGAAAAGCACCCCGGGAGGGGAAUGAAAGAGAACCUGAAACCGUAUGUUUACAAGCAGUCGAAGACCGCUUAAUAAUAAGGUCAACGGCGUGCCUAUUGAAGAAUGAACCGGCGAGUUAUGAGGUCCAGCAAGGUUAAGCAGGAAAUGCGGAGCCGAAGCGAAAGCGAGUCUUAAUAGGGCGACAAGUUGGAUUGCAUAGACCCGAAACCACAGUGAUCUACCCAUGUCCAGGCUGAAGCACAGGUAAAAAUGUGUGGAGGGCCGAACCUAUAUCCGUUGAAAAGGGUUAGGAUGAGGUGUGGGUAGGGGUGAAAUUCCAAUCGAACGUGGAGAUAGCUGGUUCUCCCCGAAAUAGCUUUAGGGCUAGCCUCGAGGUAGAGAUUGCAGGCGGUAGAGCACUGAUCAGGAGAGGGGCCUACCCGGCUACCAAACCCAGUCAAACUACGAAUGGCUGCAAUUAUACUCGGGAGUCAGACUACGACUUAUAAGGGCCGUGGUCAAAAGGGAAACAGCCCAGAUCAUCAGCUAAGGUCCCAAAUGCCGUGCUAAGUGGCGAAGGAUGUGGCGUUUCAUAAACAACCAGGAUGUUGGCUCAGAAGCAGCCACCAUUUAAAGAGUGCGUAAUAGCUCACUGGUCGAGAGACGCUGCGCCGAAAAUGUCCGGGGCUCAAGCACGGAACCGAAGCUAUGGCAUGAUAGCAAUAUCAUGGGUAGGGGAGCGUUCUUAACAGGAAGAAGCAUGACCGAAAGGACAUGUGGACCGUUAAGAAGUGAGAAUGCCGGUAUGAGUAUCGAAAAGAAAGGUGAGAAUCCUUUCCACCGAAAGCCCGAGGGUUCCUGAGCAACGAUCGUCGUCUCAGGGUAAGUCGGGACCUAAGCCGAGGCGGAGACGCAUAGGCGAUGGACAACAGGUUGAAAUUCCUGUACCGGAUACAAUCGUUUGAGCGAUGGAGCGACGCAGAAAGGCAUAUGAUCGCGCGACUGGAAGAGCGCGUCCAAGUGCGUAUGUUGAAUCGGAGGCAAAUCCCUGAUUCUGAAAGCAGAGACACGAUGGGGAGUUAUACGAAAGUAUGACGAACUCAUAGAUCCUACACUGCCAAGAAAAACUUCUAGUGAGAAAGUAUCCGCCCGUACCGUAAACCGACACAGGUAGGCGGGGAGAGAAUCCUAAGGUGCGCGGGAAAACCCUCGUUAAGGAACUCGGCAAAUUGCAUCCGUAACUUAGGGAGAAGGAUGACCUUAAGUAAGCGAAAGGGAGAAACCCCUGGAACAGAACAAGGUGGCAGAAAAGAGGCCCAAGCAACUGUUUACCAAAAACACAGGUGCCUGCGAAAGCGAAAGCUGAAGUAUAGGUGCUGACGCCUGCCCGGUGCUGGAAGGUUAAGGAGAGAUGUCAGAGCAAUCGAAGCAUUGAACUGAAGCCCCAGUGAACGGCGGCCGUAACUAUAACGGUCCUAAGGUAGCGAAAUUCCUUGUCGGGUCAGUUCCGACCCGCACGAAUGGUGUAAUGAUCUGGGCACUGUCUCAACUACCCGCCCGGCGAAAUUGUA
rnacentral:rRNA from 1 species